GUAGCUCAGUGGCAGAGCACUUGCCUAGCACACAUGAGGCUCUGGGUUCAACCCCUAGC
rnacentral:tRNA from 1 species